rnacentral:rRNA from 1 species
GAUGAACGCUGGCGGCGUGCCUAAUACAUGCAAGUCGAGCGAACAGACGAGGAGCUUGCUCCUCUGACGUUAGCGGCGGACGGGUGAGUAACACGUGGAUAACCUACCUAUAAGACUGGGAUAACUUCGGGAAACCGGAGCUAAUACCGGAUAAUAUAUUGAACCGCAUGGUUCAAUAGUGAAAGACGGUUUUGCUGUCACUUAUAGAUGGAUCCGCGCCGCAUUAGCUAGUUGGUAAGGUAACGGCUUACCAAGGCAACGAUGCGUAGCCGACCUGAGAGGGUGAUCGGCCACCCUGGAACUGAGACACGUUCCAGACUCCUACGGGAGGCAGCAGUAGGGAAUCUUCCGCAAUGGGCGAAAGCCUGACGGAGCAACGCCGCGUGAGUGAUGAAGGUCUUCGGAUCGUAAAACUCUGUUAUUAGGGAAGAACAAAUGUGUAAGUAACUAUGCACGUCUUGACGGUACCUAACCAGAAAGCCACGGCUAACUACGUG